rnacentral:rRNA from 1 species
AUUGAACGCUGGCGGCAGGCCUAACACAUGCAAGUCGGACGGUAGCACAGAGGAGCUUGCUCCUCGGGUGACGAGUGGCGGACGGGUGAGUAAUGUCUGGGGAUCUGCCCGAUAGAGGGGGAUAACCACUGGAAACGGUGGCUAAUACCGCAUAACGUCGCGAGACCAAAGAGGGGGACCUUCGGGCCUCUCACUAUCGGAUGAACCCAGAUGGGAUUAGCUAGUAGGCGGGGUAACGGCCCACCUAGGCGACGAUCCCUAGCUGGUCUGGGAGGAUGACCAGCCACACUGGAAAUGGGCCACGGUCCAGACUCCGACGGGAGGCAGCAGUGGGGAAUAUUGCACAAUGGGCGCAAGCCUGAUGCAGCCAUGCCGCGUGUAUGAGGAAGGCCUUCGGGUUGUAAAGUACUUUCAGCGGGGAGGAAGGCGAUGUGGUUAAUAACCGCGUCGAUUGACGUUACCCGCAGAAGAAGCACCGGCUAACUCCGUGCCAGCCGCCGCCGUAA